rnacentral:rRNA from 1 species
CCUACGGGUGGCAGCAGUGAGGAAUAUUGGUCAAUGGGCGCGAGCCUGAACCAGCCAAGUCGCGUGAAGGAUGACUGCCCUACGGGUUGUAAACUUCUUUUAUAAGGGAAUAAAGUGCGGCACGUGUGCCUUUUUGUAUGUACUUUAUGAAUAAGGAUCGGCUAACUCCGUGCCAGCAGCCGCGGUAAUACGGAGGAUCCGAGCGUUAUCCGGAUUUAUUGGGUUUAAAGGGGGCGUAGAGGGGUUGUUAAGUCAGUUGUGAAAGUGUGCGGCCUAACCGUCAAAGUGACAUUGAGACUGUCAGUGUUGAGAAGAGGUGAGGUAGGCGGAAUUCGCGGUGUAGCGGUGAAAUGCAUAGAUAUCACGAAGAACUCCGAUUGCGAAGGCAGCGUAC